rnacentral:rRNA from 1 species
GAGUUUGAUCAUGGCUCAGAACGAACGCUGGCGGCAGGCUUAACACAUGCAAGUCGAACGCCCGUAGCAAUACGGGAGUGGCAGACGGGUGAGUAACGCGUGGGAACAUACCCUUCGGUACGGAACAACUUGGGGAAACUUAAGCUAAUACCGUAUAAGCCCUCGGACUUGUUUCGGGGGAAAGAUUGAUCGCCGAAGGAAUGGCCCGCGUCCGAUUAGCUAGUUGGUGGGGUAACGGCUCACCAAGGCGACGAUCGGUAGCUGGUCUGAGAGGAUGGCCAGCCACAUUGGGACUGAGACACGGCCCAAACUCCUACGGGAGGCAGCAGUGGGGAAUAUUGGACAAUGGGCGCAAGCCUGAUCCAGCCAUGCCGCGUGAGUGAUGAAGGCCUUAGGGUUGUAAAGCUCUUUCGUCAGGGACGAUAGUGACGGUACCUGAAGAAGAAGCCCCGGCUAACUUCGUGCCAGCCGCCGCCGUAAC